rnacentral:rRNA from 1 species
CCUACGGGAUGCAGCAGUGAGGAAUAUUGGGCAAUGGACGAGAGUCUGAACCAGCCAAGUAGCGUGAAGGAUGACUGCCCUAUGGGUUGUAAACUUCUUUUAUAAAGGAAUACAACGACGCACGUGUGCAUUUUUGCAUGUACGUUAUGAGUAAGGAUCGGCUAACUCAGUGCCAGCAGCCGCGGUAAUACGGUGGAUCCGAGCGUUAUCUGGAUUUAUAGUGUUUAAAGGGAGCGUAGAGGGGUUGUUAAGUCAGUGGUGAAAGUUUGCGGCUCAACCGUAAAAUUGCAAUUGAUACUGGCAGUCUUGAGUACAGUUGAGGUAGGCGGAAUGCGUGGUGUAGCGGUGAAAUGCUUAGAUAUCACGAAGAACCCCGAUGGCGAAGGCAGCUUACUAAACUGUGACUGACAUUGAUGCUCGAAAGUGUGGGUAUCAAACAGGAUUAGAUACCCCAGUAGUC